AAUGAGCCGUUGGUCAUCCAACGGUUGAGAUUAUAAAAAAAAAAAAAAUCAAAAAUGAAAUUUCGAACAUCUCCCGCCCAAGACAAAACACACAGCUCUCAACGCCCAAAACACAGCUCACACAGCCUACACUCACCCAUUCCCUCUGUCGAACCCACCCUCACCGACGACCCAAUACCGGCGGCGACCCACAUCGACGUCGUUGCAGAUCCGACGACGGUAACCCAGUCUCAAAUCCGGACUCAUGCAACACACCCACCGAGCCAUCACACUGUUCUGCAAAAUCGAUAAUAAUUAUAAGCCGAUCUUUGUCACCAUUAUAAUCGAGAAAUCGUAGCCAUAAAUUCCUAAUCCUGUCUCUCUAUAUAUAUAGGUGUAUGAGUGACCAUUGAUCUCUCUUGCUCCUCUUCUCUGUUUUUAGACCAAGAACUCUGCAAAAGGGUUUUGUGGAAAGGUGAGUUAUGGAUAGAAGAUUUAUGUCGGCAGAGUCUGAAUCGGCGUUGAUUGGGGCUCAGUUGAAGCUCUGGAUUUCAUUCACUUCUGUGUUCUUAGCUUUGUGCUUGCAACAACUCUGCUGUCUUUACCAGCAGAGAACCAAUCUCUGUUUCCCAACUGUUUCGAUGCGUUUGAGGCCAAAGAGGACUUGUUCUGGAGUAGAGUGUUUUGGGGGUUUUCACAUAAAACAAAGAGAAUCCGAAUAAUCUGUUACGAUCCGUAUGCAACAGAUUCGCUGUUUAUCGAUGAUUUUGGACAUCUGUUUGAUGAUUUUGGGAGUCUUGAUGAUCUUCAAAUCUUUGGGUUUGAAGACAAUGAACCAAGUGAUCUUCCUGAUUUUGAUUUUGAGCUUGGAAAUGAAGAGUUUGCUUGGAUGGAUGGACCCCUCAAUAUAGCAUGCCUAUAAGUUUUGCAGCUAGUAGAAACGAGUGUUGGUAUUAUGAUUAUAUUAUAUAGUUUUAGGGAGAGAAAUGCACAUAUCAAGAACAUUUGAUUAAGUUCUUGAGAGUGGUUUUGUUUAUUUGUUUGUUUGUUUGUUUAUUAAUAUAGAAAGAGAUGAGUGAGCUUGAUUCAUUUGUACGGGAGAGAGAGAAAGUCCUUUGGUUUUUCAUGUGCUAUUAAAACAAAUUCUUUAAUAUUAAUAUAAUUCUGGUUCUGCUGGUA